UUUUUGUUCUUUUUUUAUGGAAUUAUUUUUGUUCUUAAACUUUGCAUUAAAUUAGUUUUUCUUUUAUUUUUUAGUCUCUAAAAGUUUUACCACUACGAAAAAAAAAAAAACCUGACUUAUUUUGAUUCAAUUUUUUCCGGGUUCACUUGAAACUUGAAAGGGUCAAAAUAAACAAAGUAAAAAUAGAUCUCCGACGACGAGCUGAGGCACGGUGGUCAGCGAUCUCAUCUCCGCCGCUUCUUCGUCUGAUUACAGAGGCUGUUAAGGAAGAAUGUUGUAUUUAUUAGCAGGACGGAUGAGCACGGGGAGAAAAUUGCUACUGCUGCUGCAGCCCGGGGUUCUGAUCCAAGUGAACAUUGCGAUGUCAUUUCACAAGCAUAGAAGACACUCUGGAAAGAUAUAAUAAUAACCCAAGAUAGAAAUGCACUCUAAGUUUACUUUAGCCUGACUUGUUGAAUGUUCCGAUUGUUGUGCAUAUUUUCCAUUUUUUUAUGAUCUCCUUUGUUUUGUUGUUUAAGUUCUGCCUGCAGUUAGACAUAUCUUAUGAUAAGUUCAUUUGGACAACUGAUCCCAAGCAUGAAGCAAUUGUGAAGGAAUUUUCUCAAGGGUUCUUGUCAAUGGUGAUAUAUUUUGGCUGACUAUGAAGGACUUUAUCGUGUCAACUGUGAGGAAUAUAACGUGUUUUUUUUGCAUUUGAACUUGUAAAUGUGGAUGUAGCAACAUUAUCUUAAUUUAAUUUCCCUUAUCUGCUUAUCGAUUUUUUGUUCACAUACUUUUUGAUUGAUUAUGGGGUAAUUGCAUUAUCUAUAGUUGAGAAUUUUAUAAAAACUAGGUGUUUUUUUUUUUUUUUUUUUGGUGGGUGCUAGUAUUUGUGUAAAAUUUUCUUUUUAUAUUUACAAGAACUUGUUGAUAUUACUCAUUAAGUGGAAUUCCUUUUUUAUUUUAUAUAGUUUCUUGCUGAUUUCCAUUUUCAUAUAUGCACUGUCUUGUUUGAACGGAUGUGUUUAUGUAUUUGUUGUGGUCGUUCUGUUUGAGAGAGGUUUUGUAUUUAUGUAACAAAAUAGUGUAAUGUCUUUUGCUGUGUGUCUGCAGGAUGAGUAUGAAUUGCUUGAUAACAACAUUUGCCCUAUGCACCUGAUGCCGUGUGUUCUGUGGAUAGAGGAUAAUUACUAUUAUUUCUUUGUGCUAUCAAAAUAUCAAAAAAAUUAUUGGAAGAAACUUUGACACAAACUCUAAAUUUUUUGCGGCCUCUGUUCUGGUUAAAUGAGAUGAGAUAGUCGGUAAUUUUGUAAAAACUUAGUCUAGCGUGUCCUAAAUAGUUGUCCCUGAGGUUUACUGUAAACGGAUUUCUCUUGGCAGCUGCUUCCAGCAUGAUUAGUUUCCUGCUAAGAGCCUGAGCAUGUUGAUUUUGAAUGUUGUAAGCUUAAUAAUUGGCAUAUUGUGUAUAUGCUAUUGUAGUAAAUCUGUAUUAGCUAUUGCUAUAGUUAUAGAUACAUGACGGAAUGCAUUUGAUAGUACCUUUUUUAAAAGUAAUUAUGCCAUGAUUGCUAAUAUAUUCCUUAAAAAGUUGUUGCGCUGAACCAACAAUACUUUAAAUAUGGCUUUUGGGUAUAGCUUUGUUGGUGACAUGCCUUGUAUUGUUAAUGCUUCUGCUACUGUAUGUUGAUCAUGCCUGGCAGGGGAAUCAUUUUUUAUGACUUUUAAUCUAAAGCUAUCUCUGCAUCUCUGUCCCCAUAGCAAUUUACUAAUAAAAUGUUAGGAACGCCCUUUCUAUAUCUUCCUAUUCUAUUAGUCACUUCCAUAGUCUUUACGCUUCAAGGUGCAAAGCUGGAUCAAAGGUGGCCUAAGAGAUUUUUACCAUUUCCUGAGCAUCAAUGGAUUGGUGCAUCCCAGUUACUUUGACAAGAAGCAAACUAUAUAUGUGUGGUUUGAUGCAUUACUAGGCACUAUCAGAGGAAGCAGGGCAAGCUAAUCUACAAAGUGCUGUUUCUUCAGGUUGG